AACAAAGGGAGUCAUUGUGGCUCAGUUGGUAGAGCAUGGCGCUUGCAACACCGGGGUUGUGGGUAUGAUUCCCACGGGGACCAGCAUGGAGAGAAAAAAAUACAAGCAUCUAUGCACAAACUACUGUAAAUCACUCUGGCUAAGAGUGUCUGCUAAAUGACUGAAAUGUAAAAUGUUGUUCACAAAGUGCCACGGUAGGCUGUUUACCUCCCGCCCCUCUUUUCUUUCGAUUGGUGGAUACAUCUCAUUAUUGUAAUCUGGUUUUGACUAUUCGAUGAGGGUUGUUGACGUCAACGGCCUYUAUUCAAUGGAGAGAGUCUAUGCUACUAGCCUCAUAACAUGAAUAUGCAUAGCCAUCACGAGACAAUGCCGAUAUAAAGUUGCCUAUAUGUCACGUGUCCUACUUAUAUCAGUACACUCAUAACAACUUAAGCAUUACGAAACGUCUAUUAGAUCAAAUCAAUGUAAUAAAUAAGCCAUAAAUUUUUUGGUUGACCAAAUUCGACUUUCUCAUUGACCUCCAUACAAAAACUCCUUUCUUGGUGGGUGAAACAACGAAAAACCGCCAACUGCUGGAGGGAAACAGAUUUUCCGCCGAUUUGGGUCUCUCGCUUCCUCUCUGGUCACCCAAGUUGAGGUUCACGURGAAUGUYUCAACGAAAGRGAAUCUUAAUCGAACCUAACCUACAUGGAUAAAAYUAUAAACCAUGGAAGUAAGUGAGGCUGUCAUUAUGCAUAAUGUACUUUGUAAUAUUCAUGUUAUACCAYUGCAGUGGUAUAUUUUUAUAUAACCAACUACCACAACAAUGUUAGCAUAGRGUUAAUUAACAACCAUUUGCACUUGAGRUAGCUAAUUAGCAAUAGCACCCUUUUGUAUGUGAACUAGCUAACUGCUUACAAUGAGGGAAUCUUAUUUGGACAAAUUUGCCUACUUGAGCAGUAAGCCUAGGUUUACAUGUACAGUUAUGCAAUCGAUUUGAUCGUUGAUUUUUCUGUGUUUCUUCAUUGUGUGCCUUGAUGUGUUUGGCUGGCUCUAAAUGUGUAUUGUUGAUGCCAUUCCCUUAGUUACACAUAGCGAGCCUACACAUAGUAUGUACAAAAAUGAAAUCACCUGGUCCCAACAUACAUGGCAAGUCAAGAAAAGUAAUUGUAACUUGUCCACACUGCAAACUGAAGUUAUUAAAUAAGGAAAAACUUCAAAACACAUUUACGAAGAAAACAUACUCAUUGCUUUGAAACAGUGUCCAAGGAAAGAUUUUUUGGCAUGUGAGUGCAUUGAUGUUGUGGGGUUUUGCUAGGCUUAGCGUGCUAAAAUAACUAUAAACUAGAAGGAUUUUACAUUAAUUAAAGUUUAAGCUACUGACUCAUGUAGGCCUGACAAUUUGUCUUUGUUCUCAGGAGUAACAGUUCUCAUAGCCUAACCAUGGGGCCACAGCCUGAAAUAUGUGUGUGUWMGCAACAAUGUACAAGGCCCUAAGAUAUGAACAAAAGUGUGAAAUGUGUGUGUGRGCUGAGAAGGGUGCUGCCCCGUGUGACCAAAACUGUYCUAAUCUUAGAGAGGCACAUGAGGGGUUUAGAGGGAGGYGGGGUGAAUCAGGAGACUGCUGAUUGUGGUGCACAAUGGACAAUAACAGAUAAACUAUACACACYAAGAUCAUCUCUGCACCCGAAGACAAGUCGUCACAUGCGCUAAGGGGCUAGGACUAGCUUAAGCGCCAACACCAACGAUAGGCCAGUGAGUUUAAACCAUGCUGUGCCUCUAUUCUAACAGGCCUGUACAGAAUCAGGAACUACCUCUGUUGGAGUAUAAAAGGGGAAGGGGGUAGGGUGUUGGCUGACUUCUCUGUUUUCAUCCUGCGUGAUGUUACAGUGAACCCGUAUAUACGGAAAUUGCAUUUGCCAUUUAUUAACUAUUGAAUUAAACAAUUAUUUUAACAAAGUUCAGGUGUGCUAUUGUUCCUAUCUCAGUUGAACCUUCGCAGCCUUAACAAUGUGAGAAAUGAAACAUUGCUCGGAUCUUGUCCCCUGGACCUUGGAGGACUUUUGGUGUGGAUGAUGUUCAGGUUGGAUAUUCCUUUAAAUUAUUCCACUCAACUGUACCAUUUGAUUGUCAUUCCUUUAUUGAAAAUUGUACCUUGUUCACACCACAGGGCCUACCAAAGCAAGGUUUUUCAAACAAUUGUGGGGUGUUUGUUUUGAUGGAAAACAUGCAGCAAGUUAGGCGAUGGUGGUGCCUAGUUCUCCUGCAGAACUUUCCCAUGCCGUCUGAAGAAGAGAGGUUGAAAGAUCGAAAAAUACGGCAAAUACAAAACASACUACGGGUAGGUGUCACACGAUGAGUGGUAUAGUCAUAAACCAAUGGUUAAAGACUUCAUUGUAAAGGGUUUAAACACUGUUUCCCAUGCUUGUUCAAUGAACCAUAAACAA